rnacentral:rRNA from 1 species
AGUGAACGCUGGCGGUAGGCCUAACACAUGCAAGUCGAACGGCAGCACAGUAAGAGCUUGCUCUUACGGGUGGCGGGUGGCGGGCGUGUGAGGAGUAUAACGGACUCUACUCUUUCGUGGGGGAUAACGUAGGGAAACUUACGCUAAUACAGCAUACGCCCUACGGGUGAAAGCAGGGGAACUUCGGACCUUGCGCGAUUGAAUGAGCCGAUGUCGGGUUAGCUAGUUGGCGGGGUAAAGGCCCACCAAGGCGACGAUCCGUAGCUGGUCUGAGAGGAUGAUCACCCACAUUGGAAGUGAGACACGGUCCAGACUACUACGGGAGGGAGCAGAGGGGAAUAUUGGGCAGUGGGCGCAAGCCUGAUCCAGCCGUACCGCGUGGGUGAAGAAGGCCUUCGGGUUGUAAAGCCCUUUUGUUGGGAGAGAAAAGCAGCAGGUUAAUACCACGCUGUUCUGACGGUACCCAGAGAAUAAGCACCGGCUAACUUCGUG